CCUACGGGUGGCAGCAGUGGGGAAUAUUGGACAAUGGGCGAAAGCCUGAUCCAGCCAUGCCGCGUGUGUGAAGAAGGCCUUCGGGUUGUAAAGCACUUUCAGUGGGGAAGAAAGCCUUUGGGCUAAUACCCUCGAGGAAGGACAUCACCCACAGAAGAAGCACCGGCUAACUCCGUGCCAGCAGCCGCGGUAAUACGGAGGGUGCGAGCGUUAACCGGAAUUACUGGGCGUAAAGCGAGCGUAGGCGGUCUGAUAAGCCGGUUGUGAAAGCCCCGGGCUCAACCUGGGAACGGCAUCCGGAACUGUCAGGCUAGAGUGCAGGAGAGGAAGGUAGAAUUCCCGGUGUAGCGGUGAAAUGCGUAGAGAUCGGGAGGAAUACCAGUGGCGAAGGCGGCCUUCUGGACUGUCACUGACGCUGAGGUGCGAAAGCGUGGGUAGCAAACAGGAUUAGAUACCCUAGUAGUC
rnacentral:rRNA from 1 species